rnacentral:lncRNA from 1 species
CAACUUCAGAAGUUGGGAAUGGAACUGAAGAAAUGAGAAAGAAGAAUCACAGGUUAACAAGGCCCAAGGCCACACAGACUUAAUGUAUGAUUUUGCCUGUCUGAAACCUCUAAAUUCAGCUUAUCUUGGGGUUCUCAGCAGUCUCUGGAAAAAUUGGCUUUCCACCCAAACUAACCAAAGAACAAAAUGAAAUCAGAAGGGCAAUUUGGAUUAACUUCUGAAGAUGGAACUUAAUAUACCAUCUUAUAAUAAGAUAUUAAGUUCACAGGUUCCAGGUAGAAACACCCAUAGUUUAAAGGUGGUUUGGCCAGUGUUUGCAAAGACCAGGCUUUGAACUCUGUGGCUAGUUUAAAAAUGGCAGCCCUGCCACCACAGAGGUCCCUCACCAGCAAAUGCUCAUAUUGUUCUCUACCUCACAUCUCUUCCAAGAACCUAAGAAACAAAAGAAAAACAGACAGUUUUGUCUUCCAAGAAGUGUUUAUGGUAAUUCAAUUCUACAAUUAUAAGGAUAAAAGAAGACAAGUUCUCACCAAAGCUCAAACUGGGCCACGCACAGUGGUGUACACAUCUGUAAUCCCAGCCACUCAGGAGGCUGAAGCAGGCUGAAGCAGGAAGAUCACAAGUUUAAGGCCAGUCUUGGCAACUUAGCAAGACCCUGUCUCAAAAAAAAAAAAAAAAACAGGGGUGGGGGAAUGGCCUAGGAAUAUAGCUCAGUAGUAGGGUACUCCUGGAUUCAAUCUCAAGUACUGCAAAAAAAAAUGGUUGGGGGGCUGGUUUCCUACAUUUAAUAAUGUAGGAAGAUGCUAGAUGAAAGAAAUCAGGAUGAAAAAUUGUGUAUGCAUGGUGUGUGUGUGUGUGUGUGUGUGUGUGUUGUGUAUAUGAAAACAACAGCAAUGAAAUACAUCAAACUGCUAAUAAUGGCUAUGACUGAGUACAAAAUUAUGAGAAAUAUCUGUCUUCUAUGUGUUACUUUUUAUUUUCUGAAUUUGAAACAAUGAG